AUCCCUAGUGGGGACAUUGAUUGAGAAAAUCUUUGAACCUUUCCCAUGAUUGGCAAAGAGUUUCAUGUUCUUUUUUAGUAAAGGUAUUGAUUUGACUUUAAAGGUU